rnacentral:rRNA from 1 species
UGCAAGUCGAGCGAUGAAGUUUCUUCGGAAAUGGAUUAGCGGCGAACGGGUGAGGAACACGUGAAGAAUCUGCCCUCCACUUUGGGAUAACACCGGGAAACCGGUGCUAAUACCGAAUAUUGAAACAUAAGUGGCAUCACUGAGUUUUGAAAGAAUUUCGGUGGAGGAUGACUUCGCGGCCUAUCAGCUAGUUGGUGAGGUAAUGGCUCACCAAGGCAACGACGGGUAGCCGGCCUGAGAGGGCGACCGGCCACACUGGGACUGAGACACGGCCCAGACUCCUACGGGAGGCAGCAGUGGGGAAUAUUGGGCAAUGGAGGAAACUCUGACCCAGCGACGCCGCGUGCGGGAUGAAGGCCUUCGGGUUGUAAACCGCUUUCAGUAGGGAAGAAGCGAAAGUGACGGUACCUACAAAAGAAGCACCGGCUAACUAUGUGCCAGCAGCCGCGGUAAUACAUAGGGUGCAAGCGUUGUCCGGAAUUAUUGGGCGUAAAGAGCUCGUAGGUCGUUUGUUACGUCGGAUGUGAAAACCUGAGGCUCAACCUCAGGCCUGCAUUCGAUACGGGCAAACUAGAGUUUGGUAGGGGAGACUGGAAUUCCUGGUGUAGCGGUGGAAUGCGCAGAUAUCAGGAGGAACACCAAUGGCGAAGGCAGGUCUCUGGGCCAAUACUGACACUGAGGAGCGAAAGUCUGGGGAGCGAACAGGAUUAGAUACCCUGGUAGUCCAGACCGUAAACGGUGGGCACUAGUUGUGGGAACCUUCCACGGUUUCUGCGACGCAGCUAACGCAUUAAGUGCCCCGCCUGGGGAGUACGAUCGCAAGAUUAAAACUCAAAGGAAUUGACGGGGCCCCGCACAAGCAGCGGAGCAUGCGGCUU